rnacentral:lncRNA from 1 species
UCAAACUCAAGGAAAUUCACUCACCUUUUCCCUUCAAAUUUUCGAGUAAUACAAGUGUGAAUCAAGAGGAUCAUUGCAAGUUUUUCUCUAACUUGGUAAGUUAUUGUCAAACAAAAGUAUCUUCUUUCACCUUAACAUGAAAAACUCCUUCUCACAUGGCUUUAUUCCAUGAUCACACCUUAGAAGCUUCAUAAACUCGAGAUCCACNUAAGGAGUCACCCUGGAAAGGAAUGAUUCGCUUUAGGAAAAGAGAAAACUAAACCCACGAUACAUUGGGCUGUUCGAGAUUUUUGCUCAGAUUGGUCCAAAGACUUAUAGGCUGCAGCUGCCUGUAGAGCUCAGCAAUGUACACCAUGUGUUCAGCGUAUCGAAUCUGAAAAAGUGCCUAUCAGGCAAAACCUUUAUCAUUCCUUUAAAAGAGAUCGAAGUAAACAAGAAUCUCCUGUUCGUCGAAGAACCAGUUGAGAUAAAGGAUAGGGAAGUAAAGUAUACGAAGCAAAGCCGCAUUCCAAUUGUGAGGGUCCGAUGGAACGCUAAGCGUGGACCGGAAUUCACAUGGGAAUGCAAAGACCAGAUGAAACGGAAGUACCCUCACCUAUUCUCUCAUUCAUGAACCUAUCUCUCAAAAGAAUUUCGAGACGAAAUUCCCUCUAACGGGGGGAUGAUGUCACAACUAGCAUUUUGCUAGGAAAUUCUACUCUUAUGCAAUCAUUCACCUAGUGUAAUAACUUGUACUCUAAGUGAAUACUCUACUUCAUACUCAUUCAAAUACAUCUCAUAUGUUCAACUAAGGGUUGGAAACCCUAGAAAUUCAUGUUCAAAUUCGUUAUGGACUAUGAAUUCUUUAUUGGACCUUAUUGGGCCGAUAAUUCCUCCCUUUGAUCUACAUUGGGCCGUGAACACACUUAAGGGCCCAAUGGGCCGAAAUUUUUUUUUGGGCUUCAUAACUUCGAACCAAGUCAAGAAAGGAGUCCAAAACCAUUCUAUCAUUUUGUCAAGCCCAUUCUCGGCCCAACUUAUAUAAAAAAAAUGAAUAAAUCUAACUAAUUCAUACAAAGACACCUCAUUAUGGACUAUAGGAUUUCUAGGCACAUUACCCACCAUGUAAUAAUAAAUCCCAUGCUUCCAUGCCACCAUACUUCAACAUAAUCUCCUUCUUUCCCUAUUCUUCAUACUCUCGGCCACCACCACCAUCAUUUAACUUUCAAAGAUCUCUUCCAUUUUACUCUCAAACUCAAGGAAAUUUACUCACUUUUUCCCUUCAAAUUUUCGAGUAAUACAAGUGUGAAUCAAGAGGAUCAUUGCAAGUAUUUCUCUAACUUGGUAAGUUAUUGUCAAACAAAAGUAUCUUCAUUCAUCUUAACAUGAAAAACUCCUUCUCACAUGGUUUUAUUCCAUGAUCACACCUUAGAAGCUUCAUAAACUCGAGAUCCACAACAAAGGUGUGCUAAGACCCAAAAAUCUCUUCAUUUAGUCAUCAAAAUCCGAAAUCUUC